GAUGAACGCUGGCGGCGUGCCUAAUACAUGCAAGUCGAGCGAAUGGAUUAAGAGCUUGCUCUUAUGAAGUUAGCGGCGGACGGGUGAGUAACACGUGGGUAACCUGCCCAUAAGACUGGAUAACUCCGGGAAACCGGGGCUAAUACCGGAUAACAUUUUGAACCGCAUGGUUCGAAAUUGAAAGGCGGCUUCGGCUGUCACUUAUGGAUGGACCCGCGUCGCAUUAGCUAGUUGGUGAGGUAACGGCUCACCGAGGCAACGAUGCGUAGCCGACCUGGGAGGGUGAUCGGCCACACUGGGACUGAGACACGGCCCAGACUCCUACGGGAGGCAGCAGUAGGGAAUCUUCCGCAAUGGACGAAAGUCUGACGGAGCAACGCCGCGUGAGUGAUGAAGGCUUUCGGGUCGUAAAACUCUGUUGUUAGGGAAGAACAAGUGCUAGUUGAAUAAGCUGGCACCUUGACGGUACCUAACCAGAAAGCCACGGCUAACUACGUGCCAGCAGCCGCAGUAA
rnacentral:rRNA from 1 species